rnacentral:misc_RNA from 1 species
GAUGAAGAACGCAGCGAAAUGCGAUAAGUAAUGUGAAUUGCAGAAUUCAGUGAAUCAUCGAAUCUUUGAACGCACAUUGCGCCCGCCAGUAUUCUGGCGGGCAUGCCUGAUCGAGCGUCAUUUCAACCAUCAAGCCCCCGGCUUGUGUUGGGGACCUGCGGCUGCCGCAGGCCCUGAAAAGCAGUGGCGGGCUCGCUGUCACACCGAGCGUAGUAGCAUACAUCUCGCUCUGGGCGUGCUGCGGGUUCCGGCCGUUAAACCACCUUCAUAACCCAAGGUUGACCUCGGAUCAGGUAGGAAGACCCGCUGAACUUAAGCAUAUCAAUAAGCGGAGGA